GUAAGUUUGGUGUUUUUCAGCCUGGAUCUCUGACUUGUGCGUCAGCUCUAUGCAUGUAGCCUACGCCGCUGUGAGCAUUUAUACUUGUGCGGUGGUGUGUCUGUGUCACUCUGCAGUUACACCUACAAAACACUAGUCAGCGGCAGAGGUUUCUGUGAAGUGCUGUAAAGUUUAGUUGAUUCAAAACACACAUUAAACACACAUUAAACAUGGCUUAAUAGAGACCAUUUCAAACACAAGUACACAAAUCGGCGUCACUAUGACUGGCAGCAUUCACAGACAAAGCACUUGUCUUUUGCUGGACACAUUUUCCUCACAAAUACAACACGCUAAUGUUUUUAGCACAAGUCUAUGGCAUUUUACAUUGUAUAAAUUAGCCUAGCAGCUAGCGGACUUUUCCUCUAUUCAUAUGAAGUCAGGGACAACAGCAACAUUUUACAAAGGUAACUUUAGAAAAUUCAGCUCCAAUACAAAUCAUAAGGGUCACCAACAAAACAACUGUCUUAUACUAAACACGUUUUCAAAACAAACAUAGCAUGCUGUUACAUGCCAGGCAGGGGCAAAGUGCAGUUGUGUUAGUGUGUGUGUUUUUCCCUCCUGGUCUUCUCUCUCUCUCUCCUCCUCUCUGCUCUCCAGGUGCCAUCAACCUGAUUGGCCUGCACCUGUAGAGUGUGGGUGCUUGCAGACUGGCCAAUCACAUCCAGAGCUCUUACAUAAAAGGACCAUGCCUGCAGUGAUCACUCUCUUCUCCUCUGCCUGCUAGAGCUGCUGCACAUGUUGAGUGAACGUGGAUGCACAAAACAAGGUUUUGUGGAAUGGGGUUUGUGGACACAGACAGAAACUCAGUAUCACGCCCAGUGAGACCUGAUCCUGGCUGCCCUCCUUUUGUCAAGGUUAAGGGGCCACUGUCACCACCUCGUGAGAAUCAAAAAACUCAGUGAAACCAACUAUGUCAUCAAAACCCCUGAUCGCAGGCGACAGACCAGAGUGUGCCAUAUCAACAUGAUGAAGCUGUACCGCUCCCGUGAUGAAAAGAGUGAGGCCUCCUCAGUCCAGGAAGUGAAAGCUGUAGUCUCACCUGUGGCAUCCAUUUGGAAGGUGAGCUCUCCUGGUGAUGAUGAUGAUGACUUAGUGAUGUGUAGUGCCACACCACAGGGAGCAAGAUUAAGCAACACAGAAGUCUUGUCCAACUUGUCUCACUACCUGUCUCACCUCCCUGAUGACCAGCGUAAUGAUGUUGAUAAACUCAUCUGUGAUUUCCUAUGUCUGUUUAAUGACAUUCCCUCUCAAACUUCAGUCAUAACUCAUGACAUCGUCCUAACUAACCCAAAACCAAUAAAGCAGCAUGCCUAUCGGGUUAGUCCAGCUAAGAGGGAAAUCCUGAAGAAGGAAGUUGACUAUCUUGUGGAAAAUGGAUUUGCAGUACCCAGUUCAAGUCCAUGGAGUUCUCCUUGUCUCCUUGAUACAAAGUCUGAUGGAAGUCCCAGGUUCUGCACUGACUUCCGCAAAGUGAACACAGUAACCGUUCCAGAUGCCCAUCCAUUGCCCCUUAUUGAUGAUUGUAUUCAUGAAAUUGGUUCUGCAACAUUCAUCAGUAAACUUGACAUGUUAAUAGGGAUACUGGCAAGUUCCUUUAACCCCACGUGCAUCUGACAUUUCAGCUUUCGUGACCCCUGACAGUUUCCUGCAGUACACAGUCAUGCCCUUCGGUAUGUGUAACACUCCUGCUACUUUUCAGAGGUUGGUAAACAAAGUAUUAGGAGAUGUUAAGAACUGCAAGGCAUAUCUGGAUGAUAUUGUUGUGUAUUCUGCUGACUGGGCUAGCCACAUAGCUACAUAGAGGGAAGUUUUCAAACGCCUGUCACAUGCCUUUUUAACACUCAACCUUGCCAAAUGUGAGUUUGGAAAGGGUACUGUCCUCUACCUUGGCCAGCAGGUUGGUCGAGGACAAGUGUGCCCCACAGAUGCAAAGGUCAAGGCCAUUGCUGCAUUUCCUGUACCGACCACCAGGAGAGCUGCGACGUUUCCUUGGAAUGUCUGGAUACUAUCGGUGGUUCUGCAAAAACUUUUCCUCUGUAGCAGCCCCACUGACUGCUUUAACCAGUCCUUCGAAGCCUUUUAUUUGGACUGGUGAGUGUACACAAUCCUUUGAGAGCCUAAAAGGUAUGCUGUGUUGCACUCCUGUCCUGUGUGCCCCAGAUUUCUCCUUGCCAUUCAAGCUUGAAGUUGAUGCCAGCGCAGUUGGGGCUGGAGCGGUCCUUCUACAGGAGGAUGACCAGGGCAUCGAUCAUCCUGUGAGUUACUUUUCUCGCAAGUUUAACAAACAUCAACUCUGGUACUCCACGAUUGAAAAGGAAACUCUUGCACUGCUGUUUGCUCUGCAACAUUUUGAGGUUUACCUUGGAUCCAGUGCUAAGCAAUUUUCAAUUUCAAUUUUAUUUAUAAAGCCCAAUAUCACAAAUCACAAUUUGCCUCACAGGGCUUUACAGCAUACGACAUCCCUCUGUCCUUAUGACCCUCGCAGCGGAUAAGGAAAAAGAGCAACUGAGGAGGGAUCCCUCUUCCAGGACGGACAGACGUGCAAUAGAUGUCGUACAGAACAGAUCAGCAUAAUAAGCCUGUUAAGGUGUUCACAGAUCAUAACCCUCUUGUGUUUCUCUCCAGGAUGUUCAACAGUAACCAGCGUCUUAUGCGUUGGGCCUUGAUCAUUCAAAACUUCAAUCUGGAAAUCACUCAUAAAAAGGGGUCUGACAAUGUUCUUGCUGACGCCUUGUCUCGUGGUAUGUAAUCUAGUUGUUAGAGAGAUUAAUUGUAAAAUGUAGUUCCAAACAUUAUGUUUGGACUUAUAUGGGUGGGGGUGUUACAUGCCAGGCAGGGGCAAAGUGCAGUUGUGUUAGUGUGUGUGUUUUUCCCUCCUGGUCUUCUCUCUCUCUCUCCUCCUCUCUGCUCUCCAGGUGCCAUCAACCUGAUUGGCCUGCACCUGUAGAGUGUGGGUGUUUGCAGACUGGCCAAUCACAUCCAGAGCUCUUGCAUAAAAGGACCAUGCCUGCAGUGAUCACUCUCUUCUCCUCUGCCUGCUAGAGCUGCUGUACAUGUUGAGUGAACUUGGAUGCACAAAACAAGGUUUUGUGGAGUGAGGUUUGUGGACACAGGUAAGACAGGGUACCCUUUACAUUUCUUCAUUCACAUAGGUAUCCAUUGUUGUAAAACACUAGGUUUUAGGGUUGGUGCUACCUCUGUAUUUAUUUUUGGUUAAGCUUCUUUUUUAGAUAAGAGAGUCAGGUUUUUGUUUGAGUUUUGUUUAAAGUUCAGACUCAGUUUAGGUCCAGUUUUAUUGUAACUCUUUCUGUUUAUUUGGCACAACCACCUUGUCCCACCCUCCUCCACAAUUGUGAUCUUUUGUUAGUAGAUUUAAUUAUCCAAUAAACCAUUUUCUUUGUGUAUACACCCGCUCUGACUCCAUCUUAUUUUUUGAUUGUCGUGUUGAUGUCUCCUUUCUACCUUGCCAUCAUACCUUGCCAUCAAGGGAGACGUAACACAUGCUAACGUUAUUAGGACAAGCCUAUGGUAUUUUACAUUGUAGAAGUUAGCC